UGGGUCAUAAAUCUAGUAAGAUGAGAAAGAAGUGGAAAAAAGGAAAAAGGUUUAUCAAGUGGAUUUUGAAAUUGGUGGAGCAAAAUAUGGGGGUUUGCUGUGUGUUUCAAUCGAUAAUGGCUCUUUCAUCUCCUUCAUUCUUUUCUUCUUUGCCAACUCCCCAAGCAGCUUCCAAUAGAAACAGACGCAUUCACAAGUUCCGGUCUUCGACCUCUGUAAAUUGUUCUAAGCUAGGCGAAUUUCAGAAUGUGCUCACGGAUUAUGUCUCUUCAAAUCACUUUCCUCUUUCCCGUACUGAUAGACAGUCCGCAAUUCUUCAAAUUCAGGACUCAUCUGACUUGGCUUCUGCUCUUGCAAGGCAUGGUGACACGCUUAAAGUACAAGAUAUGAAUGUGAUUUUGCGCUAUUUUGGGAAGCUAAGUAGACGAUGGGAGCUUUAUCAGCUGUUUAAAUGGAUGCAGCAGAAUCAGAAGAUCAAUGUUGCAUCGUACAGCAGUUAUGUAAAGUUCAUGGGGAAGAGCCUCAGUUGUGUUGAUGCUGUAGAAAUGUACAGAAGCAUCAACGACAGGUCGAUAAAGUUUAAUGUCUCAGUCUGUAAUGCAUUUCUUAGUUCUCUGAUAAAAAAUGGAAAAUCUGAGAGCAGUCUCAAACUGUUUACUCAAAUGAAGCGAGAUGGUUUAGUACCAGAUGUCGUCACAUAUAGCACGCUUCUUUCAGGCUGUGCCAAAGUAAAUGGUGGAUACUAUAAGGCAGUAGAGCUGGUUCAGGAGCUGAUGUAUAAUGGACUGCAAAUGGAUAGUGUGACUUAUGGGUCACUCCUUUCUGUCUGUGCUUCACAUAAGGAGUGCAAAGAAGCUGCAAAGUACUUUCAGAAGAUGAAAGAUGAAGGUCAUUCUCCUAAUGUCUACCACUAUAGCUCUUUGCUUAAUGCUUACUCUGCUGACAGAAAUUACGAGAUGGCGGAGGCACUGAUUGAAGAGAUGAGAUCUGCAGGUUUAGUAUUAAAUAAGGUAAUCUAUACAACUUUGUUGAAGGUAUACGUGAAAGGAGGUUUGUUUGAGAAGUCAAAGGAACUACUAAAGGAGUUAGAAGCUCUUGGCUAUGCUAAUGAUGAGAUGCCAUUUUGUCUCCUAAUGGAUGGCCUGGCAAAGUCUGGACAUCUUCUUGAAGCAAAAUCAGUAUUUGAUGAGAUGAUAGAAAAACAGGUGAAAGCUGCAGAUGGCUACUCCUAUAGCAUUAUGAUUUCUGCAUUCUGUCGCAGUGGGCUUCUCAAAGAUGCAAAGAAAUUGGCUUCUGAAUUUGAAGAAAAAUAUGACAAAUAUGAUAUAGUUAUUUUGAAUGCAAUGCUCUCUGCCUAUUGCAGAGCAGGAGAAAUGGAGAAUGUAAUGAGCAUGAUGAAGAAGAUGGAUGACUCAGCAAUUAGUCCCGAUUGGAAUACCUUUAAUAUUCUUAUAAGAUAUUUCUGCAAGGAGAAGCUAUAUUUGCUUGCCUAUCGUACCAUGGAGGACAUGCAUAGUAAAGGUCACCAACCAGAGGAGGGACUUUGUUCCUCUUUAAUUUAUCAUCUUGGUAAGACAGGUGCACAUUCAGAAGCAUUUUCUGUAUACAACAUGUUGAGAUAUAGCAAAAGAACCAUAUCCAAAGCCCUUCAUGAGAAUAUUUUGCACAUUUUGAUUGCUGGGCGUCUCCUCAAAGAUGCUUAUGUGGUAGUCAAGGUAUACAGGACAAUGCAGGAUUCAUCUCCCAGCCAGCUAUCAAAAAAUUUUCUGUCAACUUCAUGAGAUCUGGCAAUGUAAACUUAAUCAAUGAUGUGAUAAAGGCCAUGCAUAUCUCUGGCCACAAGAUUGAUCAGAUUAUUCAUAUUCAAAUACAUCCCAAAUACACAUCAUAGUCCCAAUCACAUUUCCAACAUCAUACUCAACCACCAGCACAUGAUAUCUGUUGAUUGAUGAUGAUUUCCUGGCAUAAUUAUAGGAGUAAAUUGAUAGAGAUUGAUUGUAGAUUGAUAUAGCAUUAAUUGUAAUUGAACAUGUAAUAUUUUCUCUCCUUAUUUAGUCGUAGGACUUGUUGUAUAAGUACCCAUUCUCAUGGGAUGUAAUAUCAUCCAUAAAUGCAAAGAAGACACUCUCUUCUUAAAAUCUUCAUGGUAUCAAAGUCAAGCUGCCUUUUUGAGGUGAGUUUUCUCCCUCACAGCACCAGGGUUCCAUUUUUUAUUUUAUUUUAUAAAAGAGGUUGGAUUUUCUCUCUCUCAGUGGCUGUCCUCAACAGGAACUUCUUCCGGUCAGUUCUUUUUUGAAUUUUGUUUUUCCAUUGGGGUCGGUGGAACAUUCUGAACCUAUCCCUACCACGUUUCUUUUUUUACGGUCACUGGAAUUAGCUUUCCGGCGUUGCAGCUAGCUUUCCAUCCAAAUCUACAGCUUUCUAUGGGGAUUUCCGUCCAAAUAGGGGUACGGGUGACAAGUUUCGUUAAGGCGAGGACAUGAAUAGCCACAUAGUAUAACAAAGGUUAAACCUAACUAUUAAAUGAAAGUUGAGGGGUAUUUUUGACCCGUCUCCCAGCAUUUAAUGUAGGACCAUACAUUUGUCAAAGAUACUAAA